rnacentral:rRNA from 1 species
CCUACGGGAGGCAGCAGUAGGGAAUAUUGCACAAUGGGGGAAACCCUGAUGCAGCGACGCCGCGUGAGUGAAGAAGUAUUUCGGUACGUAAAGCUCUAUCAGCAGGGAAGAAAAUGACGGUACCUGACUAAGAAGCCCCGGCUAACUACGUGCCAGCAGCCGCGGUAAUACGUCGGGGGCAAGCGUGAACCGGAUUUACUGGGUGUAAAGGGAGCGUAGACGGCAGCGCAAGUCUGGAGUGAAAUCCCAUGGCUUAACCAUGGAACUGCUUUGGAAACUGUGCAGCUAGAGUGCAGGAGAGGUAAGCGGAAUUCCUAGUGUAGCGGUGAAAUGCGUAGAUAUUAGGAGGAACACCAGUGGCGAAGGCGGCUUACUGGACUGUAACUGACGUUGAGGCUCGAAAGCGUGGGGAGCAAACAGGAUUAGAUACCCUUGUAGUC